UGCUACUUUACUUACGAUGCUAUUGGUUUACUCCAACGAUAAUGGCUAGCUAGGAUAGCCUUUCUUUAUGUCUUAAUUAUUGAUAGUGCUAUCAUCAUGGCAGGCUAUGUUGGAGCAAAAACUGUGCAGGCAAAGACAUAAGAGUGAUGGAUUUUGGAAUGAAAUGCAGAGGAUAUCCUUUUGCGCUGCUUAAAGAAGAGCUCAACAUGAGGGUGCAAGAGAGCUAUUGGUACAAUAAAGAAAGGAAAAGUUGUACGCCACUACAUCACUACGCUGGGUGCUAGCCAACAUGAUAACAGUACUUACAAGAUAACAAUAACAAUAUAAAAAUGAUUAAGUGAAGGAAUGGUGAGGAUUGGAAAGCAGAUGAGUGUACAAGUGAGAGGAAGAUUGAAGAAGAAAGCAGUAAAAUGCAGUUGGGUCCUUAAUGCACUCCUAAAGAAUAGAUUGAGAAGUUUAAGGAUGUUGAGAGUUUGAGAAAUGCUGGAGAUUAAUUUCAAUUUGAAAAAAUCUCUGCUGCAUCUCGGUUCCUACAGUAAUUUUAGCUGCUGAAGUAGCUUUCAGUUGUCAAGGUUACUAGCAAUUGAGUGUGUUUUUUCCACUCAGCGUGCAUAAGACAAGUCAAAAGUGAUACUUCUGCUGAAAACUUAUCUGCAAAGUAAAUUUUGCUUCCGUGGUUGCAUGGUGCAUUGAUGCAUAAUUGUGCAACUCUAUUAUAAAAGAAAAAAUUGAUAUGGUGCUAAACUAUCAUACAACAUCCUAACCGUACAGGAAACGAAAAAAAUAGCUAAUUCAGCAAGGAGCUUACAGCGUUGACAAAUACGUUUUCAAGCAAUGAAGACAUGAACAUUCAAAGCUAUGUAAAAUUAAUUAAUACUUUAUUAAUUUUUUUUAUUGACGUUUUACAUUUAAUUACAAUUUUUGUCAAGCUUUCUCUUUAGGGGAUUUAGCUAUUACUAAUAUAUAUACAAAUUAUCUUUUCACAUGAUCUAAAUACAUG